UAGGAUUUAUGCCAACACUUCCUGAUCCAAAGGAUGAGAUGGUGCCAUCUGUCCUUCUAGAAGAUAUACAUCUUCUUGUCUUCAUUUCACUUGAAUCAGAUUCUACCGCCUCUCUAUUCAUCUUGAAUAUCCCUUGUUCUUCAUCAACAAUGUUAUUGCUAAAUCCAACACAAAUUCACUUUUAUAUAUAUAUAUAUAUUAGAUGGCGAUGCCCGUGCGUGCACGGGUCCCAAUAUAUGUUUGACAAUAAUUUUUAUAAUAGGUUGGUAGUAUAUAUAAGUACAUAAUGUUUUUGCACUGCCUAUGCGUGAUUGCACUAAGUUUUAUACAUAUUUACAUCUUUGUACGGAAAAGGUGGAAUUGAUAGUGGCGGCAAGUCAUGUUCUGCAGUCAGAAAGAGGAGUGUUUUAGAUUGCGGAGGUAUAACUCAGUAAGAAUGGAGUUAGUAUGGCUGAUUGCAACGUACCUUGUUGAAACUAUUGAUGUCUUGCCCCUUUUUGCAAAUUUUCAUGGCUGGCAGUGCAUAUACAAAAGCAUAGUCUUUGUUGCAAAAACAAUCUGCAAAAUCAUG
rnacentral:lncRNA from 1 species